GAUGAAGAACGUAGCGAAAUGCGAUAAGUAAUGUGAAUUGCAGAAUUCAGUGAAUCAUCGAAUCUUUGAACGCACAUUGCGCCCAUUAGCAUUCUAGUGGGCAUGCCUGUUCGAGCGUCAUUUCAACCCUUAAGCCCUGUUGCUUAGCGUUGGGAGCCUACAGUACUGUAGCUCCCCAAAGUUAGUGGCGGAGUCGGUUUCACACUCUAGACGUAGUAAUUUUUUCUCGUCUGUAGUUGAGCCGGUCCCCUGCCGUAAAACACCCAAUUUAUCAAGGUUGAACUCGGAUCAGGUAGGAAUACCCGCUGAACUUAAGCAUAUCAAUAAGCGGAGGA
rnacentral:misc_RNA from 1 species